GUAUGACUGUGUUUGUGACGUAUCUGUGACAUCUCUUCUGUUUUCUCGUCAGGUUCAAACACUUGAAUCUGCUGCUUCUGCUCAGCCUUUUCAAUCACAGCGGAUCCAUCACUCGAUCUGUGAAAGGAAUAAAAGGAGGCGACGCCACCCAUUCAUGUGAAUUUAAAGACACUCAUUAUCUUGAUUUGAGCAGGUUAACAAGCAUCAUUUCUUGUCAGAAUGAAGAAUGUGAGAGUGAAAGUGAAAGUCAGAAUGGACGAGUGUUUAAAACAGGAUCAUGUGCCGUGAUUAUCAAGAAUCUGAGACUGAGUGAUGCUGGGAAAUACAUUUUAACAGUCUAUUACACUAAUACUCAGGCAGAAGUGAAGCGUCAAAUCAGGACAUACCGACUUCAUUUUCACGAUGAGGUUUCAGUGAAGAAAGGAGAGGAGCUGAAGUUAGAUGUUCUGUUGCCCAAUGCUAAUAAAGUAGUGCACUGGAGCAGAAGAAGCACAGGACCGAAGGAGGACUGGAGCAGAAGCCAUGGGCUCAGAAGUGAUCGAAUGAGCAUCAGAGAUAGAAACCUGAUCAUUAGUAACUUUACAGCCAGAGACACAGGAACAUAUGAGGUUCUGGACUCUGAAGGAGAAAUCCUGAUCAUGGUGACAGUCACCGAAUCAGAGGACAACAUGAACCUCAUGAAUGAUGACAAACAGCAGCGUACUCCCUCUCUUCUACCUGAAGCGUACUGGAUCGUCCCGGUUCAACUCUCAGUGUUUUUGGUGAUUCUGGUUGCUUUGAAAGGAAAAAGGAUGCACAGAUGUCCAGGAGCACAACUGCACGUUUGCUGAAGGGUUUACACGAUCAUUGUUAGUGACCCCACUGAUAAAAAAGCAAUUAUAAUAAUUAUAAGACAUGAAUAAUAUUAAUAAAUAGCUGUCGUUUUGACAAUUGUUUUAAUAAGCCACCAAAAUUUGGGUGAUUCCAGUUUUAAUACCACAGCAAUGUUUGUAGUUGUAAUUUGUUUAUGCCUAUGCAUGAAUAUACUUGACUAGACAAAUGCAGCUAAUGUUAAUUAAUGCAUAAGUUAAUUAAAUAUAUAUAUAUAUA